rnacentral:rRNA from 1 species
GUGGAUUAGAUACCCUAGUAGUCCACGCCCUAAACGAUGUCAACUGGAUGUUGGAGGGGUUAAACCCUUUAGUGUCGUAGCUAACGCGUGAAGUUGACCGCCUGGGGAGUACGGCCGCAAGGCUAAAACUCAAAGGAAUUGACGGGGACCCGCACAAGCGGUGGAUGAUGUGGAUUAAUUCGAUGCAACGCGAAAAACCUUACCUACCCUUGACAUGUCAGGAAUCCUGGAGAGAUCUGGGAGUGCCCGAAAGGGAGCCUGAACACAGGUG